AAACCAUCAAGCGCAGCUUGGCUUUGGACCCGGGACUAGAGCCCCGUCUGAAACUUCAAAUGGCGUUCCCGUCGAGCCUUAAGCGUAGCAAGAAUUAAUCCCUCGCUUUAAAGGCCUUGGGCGGGAGCAGCACCGAAAGUCACCCCAAA
rnacentral:misc_RNA from 1 species